UUUUGAUAGGUCAAAGCUUCAUGUUUCCAACAACUAAUGGUUGUUCUAUCGUAAAGACUUCUGGAGAGCUGGGAACGACUGGAAGUUGUGGUGGCUGUGUGACCGAGGUAUAAUCGAAUUGAAGUUUGUAGAAGUAAUUUUAUACAUCAGCUUGAAAAGGAUCAGAAGACCUGUGAUAUGCUAGCUGAUCUACAAAUUAAAACAAAAAACGAAAUUGCAUGGAAGAAGGCGAGAGAACGAGAUAUUCUAUUAAGUGUUAAUUGUAAUGUUUAAUUUUUAAUUUUUAUUAUUUUUCUAAAUCAUAAUUUUGUAAUACUAUGGUUUAUUAUUGAAUAUUCAAAGUUUCACUGCUUUCAUAAUUUUGCAAUUUUAGUUUUACCAGUUUCUUUUAUCCAAGAUUGCUACUGGUUGGUUAAAAUUUUGGG